GGCCCUAUAGCUCAGUGGUUAGAGCACUGGUCUUGUAAACCAGGGGUCGCGAGUUCAAUUCUCGCUGGGGCCU